UGACAGGAGGCAAUGAGCGAAGCCUGAUCCGCCAUGCCGCGUGAGUGAUGAAGGCCUUCGGGUUGUAAAGCUCCUUUCACCGGUGAAGAUAAUGACGGUAACCGAAGAAGAAGCCCCGGCUAACUUCGUGCCAGCAGCCGCGGUAAUAAAUA
rnacentral:rRNA from 2 species